rnacentral:lncRNA from 1 species
CUGAAGUAGCAGAGGGGAGAGGAAAACUGAGCUAAAGUCUUCAACAAAUGAAGCAGGAGACAAGAAGAGAAGAUGCUAUGAAUCUACAACUGGUAAGAAUUUGUACAGAGGAUAAAUUUAAAGAGAGGAUAAAUAUUGCAGACCCCAUCUUCCAAACCUGGAAAGUAGAAAUAGAGGCUUCAAUAAGAAACAGAUUUCAAUAGAGGGCAGGGGUUCAGAUAGAGUUAUGAGACUGACUUGAAGAGUAAUUAUUGUUGCUGCUGUUUCGUAGCUCAUGGCACAGUGAAAAUAUUGGAAAGUCAGUAAAGCACGAGAAGUUUGAUUCAUCCAAGCAGAAACAAACAAACAACAAAAAAAAAGCGUUUAGAAGGUAAAAGUAUGAGAGGGAAAAGAUAAAUACCUAGAGAGCUUGUGCCACAGGCAAUGAGCAAGAGAUUUGAAACUAUAGUAAGUUUAAUGGCUGCCAGCAAGCUGCCAAAAGAACUACUCCUAUUAGUUCCCAGGUGUUCAGAAGGAAUUGAAAGUUUUUUGCCAGAAGUUCAAGGUCAACUAGAUUGCUUCACAGAGGGUCAAGAUCCACAUGAAUGGCCCAGCAAGAGAUAUAUUCACAGCAACAAUACUAGACAGAAGUGAGCCUGAGAAAACAGUCUUUCCACUCUUUCCCAUUUACAAACUUCUUCUUUAGUUCUUUGCUCUCUCGCUGUCCAUUCACUCCAAUCUCAAAAGCCAUAAUUGAAAUAAACAUCAGGCUAUCCUGACUUUCUACAUUGCCUUCUUCAAGACCUCCAUUUAUAGCUCCUCUGGGGCCAACAUUUCAUUUGCAGAAUCCUGUUUCUAAAUUUGCCGUCCACAGGGCACCUUGCCAGAAUUAGGAAGAAAAACAAUUUGAUAAAAAUUGGCAAAGCCAAUUCUUUUGUAUUUGUCAGUUAUUAUGAUCUCUGUCAAGUAACAGGAAUGUGGCUCCUGGGAUUGAGUUCCCACAGUAAUUCUCAUAGAUCAGUAAUGUCACUAAGAGAGUGCUGAAUUGAAAGAAGUGAGCAAAGUAAAUCCUUAUCCUCGCUGUUCAGGUUAAGACCAGAUCAAAAUUCUGACAACCAUUGACAUAUUUCACAAAAUAUGAACAGAUGUGUUGGACCGCUAGAUUCCUCAAAUGAUAGGUAUUUUUUCACUCCUAUUGUCUCCUUGAAAGACUGGUUACUCAAUUUGGGUAGAACUAUCUGCAUGCUUUUGAUUUGCUUAUAAAUACAGAAAUACAUUUUAAGGGAUGAUAUCUCAAAACAGAAACUGGUUUCCCAGUUGACCAAAUAUGAAAGACCUAAUGGAGAACAGAAAAUGACUUGCUGAUAAUCUUGGUUCCCUAAGCAUCAAGUUCAGUUGCAUUUAUGAUCACCUGUUUUCUCUCACCAUUUGCAUGCUCGUUUGCUUUUUGUUCAUUUGUUAUAAUGAUUUUAUUACACAUGAACCAAAUGCUAGGAUUUUAUAC